rnacentral:rRNA from 1 species
UACGUAGGUGACAAGCGUUGUCCGGAUUUAUUGGGCGUAAAGGGCGCGUAGGCGGCUACGCACGUCCGUUGUGAAAUCGCUCGGCUCAACUGGGCGGGGUCAGCGGAUACGGCGUAGCUGGAGCAAGCUAGGGGGCAAUGGAAUUCCCGGUGUAGUGGUGGAAUGCGUAGAUAUCGGGAGGAACACCAGUGGCGAAGGCGGUUGCCUGGAGCUUUGCUGACGCUGAUGCGCGAAAGCGUGGGGAGCGAUCCGG